rnacentral:rRNA from 1 species
GUAGGUGGCAAGCGUUGUCCGGGAAUUAUUGGGGCGUAAAGCGCGCGCAGGUGGUUCUUUAAGUCUGAUGUGAAAGCCCCCGGGCUCAACCGGGGGAGGGGUCAUUGGAAACUGGGGAACUUGAGUGCAGGAGAGGAAAGUGGAAUUCCACGUGUAGCGGUGAAAUGCGUAGAUAUGUGGAGGAACACCAGUGGCGAAGGCGACUUUCUGGCCUGUAACUGACACUGAGGCGCGAAAGCGUGGGGAGCAAACAGGAUUAGAUACCCUGGUAGUCCACGCCGUAAACGAUGAGUGCUAAGUGUUGGGGGUCUCCGCCCCUCAGUGCUGCAGCUAACGCAUUAAGCACUCCGCCUGGGGAGUACGGUCGCAAAGACUG